AUACUGAGGGUGCAAGCGUUAAUCGGAAUUACUGGGCGUAAAGCGCGUGUAGGCGGAUCGUUAAGUCAGGGGUGAAAGCCCGGGGCUCAACCCCGGAACUGCCCUUGAUACUGGCGAUCUAGAGUCCGGAAGAGGUGGGCGGAAUUCCCGGUGUAGAGGUGAAAUUCGUAGAUAUCGGGAGGAACACCAGUGGCGAAGGCGGCUCACUGGUCCGGUACUGACGCUGAGACGCGAAAGCGUGGGGAGCAAACAGGAUUAGAAACCCUAGUAGUCC
rnacentral:rRNA from 1 species